rnacentral:rRNA from 1 species
AUUGAACGCUGGCGGCAGGCCUAACACAUGCAAGUCGAACGAGUGGCGGACGGGUGAGUAAUGUCUGGGAAACUGCCUGAUGGAGGGGGAUAACUACUGGAAACGGUAGCUAAUACCGCAUACCAUCGGAUGUGCCCACAUGGGAUUGGCUAGUAGGUGGGGUAAAGGCUCACCUAGGCGACGAUCCCUAGCUGGUCUGAGAGGAUGACAUGCCACACUAGAACUGAGACACGGUCCAGACUCAGACGGGAGGCAGCAGUGGGGAAUAUUGCACAAUGGGCGCAAGCCUGAUGCAGCCAUGCCGCGUGUAUGAAGAAGACCUUCGGGUUGUAAAGUACUUUCAGCGGAGAGGAGUUACCCGCAGAAGAAGCACCGGCUAACUCCGUGCCAGCAGCCGCGGUAAUUC